rnacentral:rRNA from 1 species
GACGAACGCUGGCGGCGUGCUUAACACAUGCCAGUCGAACGGAAAGGCCCUGCUUGCCGGGUACUCGAGUGGCGAACGGGUGAGUAACACGUGGGUGAUCUGCCCUGCACUUCGGGAUAAGCUUGGGAAACUGGGUCUAAUACCGGAUAGGAGCCAUCUUUAGUGUGGUGGUUGGAAAGUUUUUUCGGUGUAGGAUGAGCUCGCGGCCUAUCAGCUUGUUGGUGGGGUAAUGGCCUACCAAGGCGGCGACGGGUAGCCGGCCUGAGAGGGUGUACGGCCACAUUGGGACUGAGAUACGGCCCAGACUCCUACGGGAGGCAGCAGUGGGGAAUAUUGCACAAUGGGCGCAAGCCUGAUGCAGCGACGCCGCGUGGGGGAUGAAGGCCUUCGGGUUGUAAACUCCUUUCGCUAGGGACGAAGCUUUUUUGUGACGGUACCUAGAUAAGAAGCACCGGCUAACUACGUG